CGCUGUCCUUUGCCGCCAGUGAUUGCAGUGGUGGUGAUGGUGGCAACUUUUUAUUCGACGGUGCUUUGGGAGGAGGAGGCGCUAUUGAUGGCGGUGGAGAGGGAGGAGGUGAAGGUGGCGGAGGUGGACUUGGAGAUGGCGGCUUGGGGGGGGAAGGAGGCAAGGGAGGAGGUGGUGGGGGGGGUGGACUUGGAGAUGGCGGCGGUGGGGGCGGAGGCGAGGGAGGAGGUGAAGGUGGGGGGGGUGGACUUGGAGAUGGCGGCUUGGGGGGGGAGGCGGCGAGGGAGGAGGUGAAGGUGGCGGGGGCGGAGUUGGAGAUGGCGGCGGUGGGGGCGGUGGCGAGGGAGGAGGUGAAGGUGGGGGGGGUGGACUUGGAGAUGGCGGCG
rnacentral:lncRNA from 1 species